rnacentral:lncRNA from 1 species
GUCACUGACGUGGUCUUCCUGUCUGGGUUGGCGCCCCCCCUUGGGUUGUGCCAUGGCGGAGAUCGUUGUGGGCUAUACUCGGCCUUGUCUUAGGACGGACCUGAGCCCUAGGUCCAUGCCUCAGGACUACCUGGUAUGAUGACUCCUUGCUGUCCCCAGUCCACCUGGCCGUGCUGCUGCUCCAGUUUCAACUGUUCUGCCUGUGGCUAUGGAACCCUGACCUGUUCACCGGACGUGCUUGUUGCACCCUCGACAACUACUAUGAUUAUUAUUAUUUGACCAUGCUGGUCAUUUAUGAACAUUUUAACAUUUUAACAUCUUGACCAUGUUCUGUUAAAAUGUUCAUAAAUGACCAGCAUGGUCAAAUAAUAAUAAUCAUAGUAGUUGUCGAGGGUGCAACAAGCACGUCCGGUGUACAGGUUCCAUAGCCGCAGGCAGAACAGUUGAAACUGGAGCAGCAGCACGGCCAGGCGGACUGGGGACAGCAAGGAGUCAUCAUGCCAGGUAGUCCUGAGGCAUGGUCCUAGGGCUCAGGUCCUCCGAGAGAAAGACAGAAAGAGAGAAAGAGAGAAUUAGAGAGAGCAUAUUUAAAUUCACCCAGGACACCGGAUAAGACAAGAGAAAUACUCCAGAUGUAACAGACUGACCCUAGCCCCCCCGACACAUAAACUACUGCAGCAUAAAUACUGGAGGCUGAGACAGGAGGGAUCAGAAGACACUGUGGCCCCAUCCGAUGAUACCCCCGGACAGGGACAAAAAGGCAGGAUAUAACCCCACCCACUUUGCCAAAGCACAGCCCCCACUCCACUAGAGGGAUGUCUCCAACCACCAACUUACCGUCCUAAGACAAGGCCGAGUAUAGCCCACAAAGAUCUCCGCCACGGCACAACCCAAGGGGGGGGGGGGGCCAACCCAGACCGGAAGAC